rnacentral:rRNA from 1 species
CCUACGGGAGGGCAGCAGUGAGGGAAUCUUCCACAAUGGACGCAAGUCUGAUGGAGCAAUACCGCGUGCAGGAAGACGCUUUUCGGAGUGUAAACUGCUUUUGUCGUCGAAGAUUAUGACUGUAGACGAAGAAUAAGGACCGGCUAACUACGUGCCAGCAGCCGCGGUAAUACGUAGGGUCCAAGCGUUAUCCGGAAUUACUGGGCGUAAAGCGUACGCAGAUGGCGUAAUAGGUGAGUUGUGAAAUCUUGUGGCUCAACCAUAUAGACUAUGACUCAAACCAUUACACUAGAGGUUGGUAGAGGCAAGCGGAAUUCCCGGUGUAGCAGUGACAUGCGUAGAUAUCGGGAGGAACACCAAUGGCGAAGGCAGCUUGCUGGGCCACACCUGACGUUAAGGUACGAAAGCGUGGGGAGCGAACGGGAUUAGAUACCCCGGUAGUCCACGCCGUAAACGAUGGAUACUAGUGGUAUGGAGAUGACCCUCUNUGUCACGAAGCUAACGCGAUAAGUAUACCCGCCUCGGGGAGUUACGAACGCAGUUAAAACUACUAAACGAAAGUAGAAGCGUGNGAGNGCGACGACGACGACGAGGAGGAGGAG